AUGACCUUGAGGCACUGCUGGGUUGUCAAGGACUCAGUCCGGUUGCUAGUGCUGGAUGAAAAGGGGGAGUUGUUAGAUCUAGGACACAUUGCUCAGCUGCUUGUGGCUCUGGAAUAUUUGUGGUUUCAGUGUCCCCUGAGGAGCCUGCACUUUCCUGCUCUUGCCUCCUCAUCAGAGUGUUCCAGUAACUUUGAGAUACUUCAGAUCUCCCUAUUUAAACCUGAAGAAAUGACUACCAUGUUUGUUAGGAAGGCUUGGGAGAUCGUGUUCAGGAAUCAUGUGUUAGACGUGUGGUGGCCGGGGCUGCUGCCUCUGGCAGUCCAUAGUCACAGUAUCAGUGUCAGGAAAGGCAAUGAAUGCAUGAGGAUGUUUAACCUGUUGCCCCUCCUCAAACCAGGGCAUGUACCACGCUGCCUUGCUCAGGCACUUGUACCCGAACGCUGGGCACAAGCCCACAGACAUGAACCCUUUAAGGUGAAGCUGAUUAACGAACUGAAUGAGUGAUAGGUCCAUCUUGGGGUGGUCGAUAAGGUGUCCUGGCACUCCAAGUGCAAGGACAGCACCUGGAUUUUCCUGGGAGGACUUCCUUAUGAACUGACUGAAGGGGACAUCAUCUGUGUGUUCUCACAACAUGGGGAGAUUGUUAACAUUAAUCUUGUGCAGGACAAGAAGAAUGGGAAAUCCAAAGGAUUCUGUUUCCUUUCCUGUAAAGACCAGCGGAGCACAAUUCUGGCUGUUGACAAUUUUAAUGGGAUCAAGAUCAAAGGAAGAACUAUCUCAGUGGAUCAAGUGUCUAAGUAUCGGGCUCCUAAGGCGUCAGAAGAAAUAGAUGAUGUGACCAAAGAGCUCCAGAGAAGGGCUGUGGGGCUCAUACCCCCUCACUGAAUUUGUGUCAGAGCUCUGCAAAUGAAAAACCAACAAAAAAAGCACAAAAAAGACAAACAGGAAAAAAAGGAAAUAAAGAGAGAAAACUGACUGGGAGGUACAGGCAGAACAACCAUCCUCUUCAUCAUUCAGAAACAAGACACUAAAGGAAAAGGAUGACCUGGCCCUAAGAAAAACAGCAACAAGAACUCAGAGAUAGCUCAGAAGUCAGAGCCCAGGGAGGGGCGGAAGCUCCCCGAGGCCAGGACUGCCUGCUCUGGUGGAGCAGAGGACCUAGAGCGGGAGCUGAAGAAGGAGAAACCCAGCCACUAGCCUAAGGCCUCAAGCAGGAGGGAGGCAAAAGGAAAGACCAGGAAUAGGGACAGAGGGCAGAGCUCAGACACACAUUCUAGCCUGUACAACAGGUGUUCUGAAGGGUGUAGUCAUAGGAGCUGAGAUAAAUCCCAUAGGCAUAAAAGGGCCCAGGGCUCCCAAGAGCUGGAACCUUCAAAUCACAGUGACCAUAGGCUUCCCUGAAGAUUGUUCAGCUGCUCAGUAGAUUUGGAAAUAGUUAUGUUAUUUAAAUGCAGUCAAAUUCAGUUGAGUUGUUACUAUUUUUAUAUCUAAAACUUCUGGGGCUGGAUUUUUUUAAUCCCUUGAGUAUUAGAGUCAUUGAGAGGGCUGCAGUUUCAACAGAUACCCUGGAUAUUCUUCACACCAUCCAUUGUCCCUGUACCAGAGUAUGUGUCCUGAAUUUGGGUUCAUAAAUAUGGCUCUUGAACCCAUAUACCCCAAUUGAAGAUGGAAUUUUCAGGAAAGGAAAAAUACCGGAUAAUUCUAGAAUUCUAGUUUUCGCGUUAGAGGUCUAGAGCUCAGCGUCGUGGGACCUUUCCAGUUACUAGGUUUGGACAGCUUGAUGUGAAUGAAUGGGAUAGGAUUUUUAAGAUCAACCAGCUCCAUGACCAAACCCUCCUGUUUUAAAAAAAUGUUAAUGUCUUUUCUUUUUCAUUAAGACUUUCUUGUUUGAUA